rnacentral:miRNA from 1 species
CAUGAUGAAAUGUGAUUAGUAUCACAAAGUAAACAUCAUGUUCUCCAGAUAUUUAGGAAAACAAAAGACUAUUCAGAGACUAUUUUAGAAGUGUGGUAAUUGGUUGGGGGAUGGGAUGGGGAACAUGGAGGAAAUC